GAGCUUCACUUUGGUCUAGUCUUGUAUAGUUCUUGCGGGGGUGUAGACUAGGUGGGAGAGCAAUCGAUUCUGAAAAACCACUACCCUGUUUGGAAUUAUGCUUACCUAUCACAAGGAAUAGGACUAGAUAGAAAGUUUGGCUGGGGCGGCACACCUUCGAAAGAGCAGCGAAGGUGUCCUAAGUUGAGCUCAGUGAGGACAGAAAUCUCACGUUGAGGAUAAGGCCAAAAGCUCAAUUUACUGUGCCUUUUUGUACUAGGAUCAGUUACGAAAGUAAGGCCUAACGAUCCCUAAAUAGCCUCAGGUGCGUGAGGAUUGGGGUGACAGACAAGUUACCUCCGGGACAACUGGCUUGUGGCUGCUAAGAGAUCAAAUCAACGCAGCUUUUUGAUUCUUCGAUGUCGGCUCUUCCUAUCCUAGUGAUGUACAAGUUGCUAAGGGUCGGAUUGUUCACCCGUAUUAGGGAUCGUGAGCUGGGUUUAGACCGUCGUGAGCCAGGUUUGUUUUAUCCUACUGGAUAUAGCAUCAUGAUAGUAGAUUGAUUUAGUACGAGAGGAACUGUUGAUUAUGGCCUCUGGUUAGCGAUUAUCGGAAACGGUAUGUCGCGCAGCUACGCCGUCUGGGAUAAUGGCUGAAAGCCUCUUAAGCCAGAAGCCCAUCUAGAAAGUGAUGCACGUGAUGUUGGACCGAUACGAAUAAUCAUACUCAAAAGGUCCGCUUCAUAGGUAACCCAAUGUAGAAGACAUUGUGUGAACGAAGGUACUGUAAGCAGUGGAGUGGCAUUACGUCCACGACCUGUUGAGGUUCAGCUUCGCUUCUAGGUUUCC
rnacentral:ncRNA from 1 species